rnacentral:rRNA from 1 species
AGAGUUUGAUCCUGGCUCAGAAUCAACGCUGGCGGCGUGCCUAACACAUGCAAGUCGCACGAGAAAGUGGAGCAAUCCAUGAGUACAGUGGCGCACGGGUGAGUAACACGUGAAUGAUCUACCUCCGAGUGGGGAAUAACCUAGAGAAAUCUGGGCUAAUACCGCAUAACACUUACGAGUCAAAGCAGCAAUGCGCUUGGAGAGGAGUUCGCGGCCGAUUAGUUAGUUGGCAGGGUAAUGGCCUACCAAGACGAUGAUCGGUAUCCGGCCUGAGAGGGCGCACGGACACACUGGAACUGAAACACGGUCCAGACUCCUACGGGAGGCAGCAGUGGGGAAUUGUUCGCAAUGGGCGCAAGCCUGACGACGCAACGCCGCGUGGAGGAUGAAGAUCUUCGGGUCGUAAACUCCUUUCGAUUGGGACGAACGGCCUCCGGGUGAAUAACCCGGGGGAGUGACGGUACCGAGAGAAGAAGCCCCGGCUAACUACGUGCCAGCAGCCGCGGUAAUAC